rnacentral:rRNA from 1 species
ACGGGGGGUGCAAGCGUUGUUCGGAAUUAUUGGGCGUAAAGAGCGGGUAGGCGGCGUGAUAAGUCAGAUGUGAAAGCCCUGGGCUUAACCCAGGAAGUGCAUUUGAAACUGUCUUACUUGAGUACGGGAGAGGGAAGAGGAAUUCCUGGUAUAGAGUUGAAAUUCGUAGAUAUCAUGAGGAACACCGGUGGCGAAGGCGACUUCCUGGCCCGAUACUCACGCUGAGACGCGAGAGCGUGUCGAGCAAACAG